CUCGCCUUUUUAAAGCUUAAUAGUGGAUAAUAGGGGGGCAGUAUCAAGGGAUAAUUUGGGUCCCCACAGUACCAAAGCAUUUAGAAACCUCUGUUUAAUUUAAGGAAUGAGAUAAGUUACUGCUUUUCUAGACUUCCUAGCAUGGGCUGUUGUGCUGGAGAGAACGAGAGCUACGAAGAGACUACAGUGCCUCUGACUUUUUCAUAGGACAGUUGGCCGAGGAAGACAAACAUAAAGAUGAAGUGCUUAAUUCAAGGUCACACAAUGUCGGGGAUGGACCUCCAGAUUUCCUUACUGACCUGCAUUAUCUUGUGGAUACCUGAGUGAAUUCCACACCACCCAUUUUAUAGAUGAAACCACUGAGACAUGGAGCAAUUGACUGAGUAGUCACUGCCCCACCCCUGCCUGGAGCCUCACACAUGACUCGCCUCCUCUCAGUGACCACAGUACUUAUCCUGUAUUACAUGAAGGAAAUGAAAUAAAAAGACUGCAGCCCCACUCCCAGCUACUCAGUGAGGUGGUAGCUAGGUGAGACGUGGUCUUGUAACACAGUGGUUAAGAAUGUGACUUUGGAGCCAGCCUGCUAGGGGCUGAAUUCUGACUCAGCCAUUUACUAACUGUGUG
rnacentral:lncRNA from 1 species